rnacentral:rRNA from 1 species
GAUGAACGCUGGCGGCAUGCUUAAUACAUGUAAGUCGAACGAAGUGCUUUUGUCUUCGGAUGAGAGUAUCUUAGUGGCGAACGGGUGAGUAACGCGUUGGUGACCUGCCCCGAAGAGGGGGAUAACAGUUCGAAAGGACUGCUAAUACCCCGUGUUGUCACCGGGAUUAGAUGCCUGGUGACCAAAGGAGUAAUCCGCUUUGGGAGGGACCUGCGUCCCAUCAGCUAGUUGGUAGGGUAACGGCCUACCAAGGCUAUGACGGGUAGGGGCCUGAGAGGGUGAUCCCCCA